AUUGAACGCUGGCGGUAUGCUUAACACUUGCAAGUCGAACGGUAGCAGGCCUUCGGGUGCUGACGAGUGGCGGACGGGUGAGUAACGCGUAGGAAUCUGCCUCAUAGUGGGGGACAACGUGGGGAAACUCACGCUAAUCUCGCAUACGCCCCACGGGGGAAAGCGGGGGAUCUUCGGACCUCGCGCUAUGAGAUGCGCCUGCGUUAGAUUAGCUAGUUGGUAGGGUAAAGGCCUACCAAGGCGACGAUCUAUAGCUGGCCUGAGAGGACGAUCAGCCACACUGGGACUGAGACACGGCCCAGACUCCUACGGGAGGCAGCAGUGGGGAAUAUCGGACAAUGGGCGCAAGCCUGAUCCAGCAAUACCGCGUGUGUGAAGAAGGCCCUAGGGUUGUAAAGCACUUUCAAUGGGGAGGAACACCUGCCGGUUAAUACCUGGUAGCUUGACAUUACCUAUAGAAGAAGCACCGGCUAACUCCGAGCCAGCAGCCGCAGUAACAC
rnacentral:rRNA from 1 species